rnacentral:rRNA from 1 species
AUGCAGACAAGAGAAGAGUUUUGUUCGGCUGCCAGCAGCCGGCAGAAGAGAAAAAGAAGAAGAAGGGCAUUGCAAGACGCCUCGCCGCCUGGCCGGUCGAGCCUGACCGGCUGGGGCCCCGCUUCGAGCACUCGGGGGCUCGAAGGCCACACCCAGUGGGUGCGCCGCGCGCUCCGCGAGCGCCGAGCCGCGCCGGCUGUCUUAGGCAAACUCCACCUCGGCUACACGAAAAUCAAUGUGAGCUUCUCACCCGCAUAUUUUUUGCACCACGCAAGCAUGGAUAACCCCGAGCGAUGCUCGGGGGCUAUCUCCGCAUCUUAUUACAGUUGCAUCACUGUUCGCCCCGGCGCCAGCCAGAUUUGGCCCGGGGGCUGGCCGCUUGGCCUGAGACGUUAG